rnacentral:rRNA from 1 species
UACGGAGGGUGCAAGCGUUAUCCGGAUUUACUGGGUUUAAAGGGUGUGUAGGCGGGCCGUUAAGUCAGUGGUGAAAUCUCCGGGCUCAACCCGGAAACUGCCAUUGAUACUAAUGGUCUUGAAUUUUGUUGGGGUAGGCGGAAUAAGUCAUGUAGCGGUGAAAUGCAUAGAUAUGACUUAGAACACCAAUUGCGAAUGCAGCUUGCUAAACAAAUAUUGACGCUGAGGCACGAAAGCGUGGGGAUCAAACAGG